CCUACGGGUGGCAGCAGUGGGGAAUAUUGGGCAAUGGGCGCAAGCCUGACCCAGCAACGCCGCGUGAAGGAUGAAGGCUUUCGGGUUGGAAACUUCUUUUCUCAGGGACGAAGCAAGUGACGGUACCUGAGGAAUAAGCCACGGCCAACUACGGGCCAGCGGCCGCGGCAAUACGUAGGUGGCAAGCGUUAUCCGGAUUUACUGGGUGUAAGGGGCGUGUAGGCGGGAAAGCAAGUCAGAUGUGAAAACCAUGGGCUUAACCUGUGGCCUGCAUUUGAAACUGUUUUUCGUGAGUACUGGAGAGGCAGACGGAAUGCGUGGUGUAGCGGUGAAAUGCGUAGAUAUUAGGAGGAACACCAGUGGCGAAGGCGGUCUGCUGGCGCGCAACUGACGCUGAGGCGCGAAAGCGUGGGGAGCAAACAGGAUUAGAUACCCGGGUAGUC
rnacentral:rRNA from 1 species